UCUGAAGAAGGGUUGUUGCCUGGUUGAUUGUGUGAUGGCGGUGAUGGGAGCUGCUGCCACUAGAUGUCGUCAUAUACCAUCCGUGGGAAACAUUGAAAUACUGAAAGGCAAAUGGACAAAAAGCUGAUUCCAGAAUGAUUAUCCAGCCAUAAACAAAUAAAUCAUUUAACACCCUGGUACAUUUUUUUUUGCAUUCUGGAAGUAAUUGAAUGCAAAGUUGAAAUGGUGCACCUAUGCCCAUUGGCAUGUCUGAGUCAGCGCACGCUUGCGUGCAGUCAUGUUUUUCUCAGCGCACUCGUAAGCGUAGGUGUGCGUUGGUCACACGGGCCUUGGCGUCAGAAUGUCUCCCUUUCCUAAGGGUUAAGUAAGGAUGGACAGAUUUAUGACUUCUAGCAUGAGAAAAGCUUUUGGCAGCUCCUCUGUUGUUCAUAAAGUGUGUGUGUGUGUGUGUG
ensembl:lncRNA